AUGAGCUGGUGUUUGGCCAAGGACAUGAAAGACAAGAUCGUCAACCAAGUCCUCCCGCACGGCUACAUCUCGCCGGACCUUUCAAAGGGCAACGAGGUGUUCUCUGUCCCCAUUUUCAAUGACGUGGAUGAAGACAGGUCUCUCCUUGACUUCGACUACAUUGCCCACCCAAAAUUUCCAUUGUCCCUCGUGCCUCCACCGGUAAAGCUGUAUCAGGGCUGCCGUUGUGUGGUGUGUGGGUCGGACUACAGCUGCUUGAGGAAGAAUGGUGGAGGUGCGGUGUACAAUGAGGAUGGCACCCUCAUCAGGGGAAGACCAGUAGUGUAUGAGUGUGGUGCUCUUUGUGGUUGCACCACGAGGAGCUGCUUCAACAGGUCGACCCAAGUUGGGAUGGAGCACCGGCUGGAGGUGUUCAGGUCCAUGCAGACGGAUUGGGGUGUCAGGACACUGGACUUGAUACAGCCAGGCGCUUUUGUAUGCGAGUACAGCGGAGACGUGGUCACUGGCGAUGUCACCAUGGAUGAGGGCUGCGUCAUUGAUCCAAAGAGGUUUCCCAAGAAGUGGAGAGAGUGGGGAUAUGCCUCUGAUGCACUUCUAGAAGACAAGGAGUACGUCCACAUCGAAGUUCCCCAAGCUGUGCUUCCCGAUACUGUGUGUGAAUCAGUUCUUCUGCCUCAGUUCCCCCAUUUCCAAGAGCCAGGCUAUAUACUCGAUGUGUCUCGCCGGAGGAAUUUUGCCAGCUACAUUAGCCACAGUUGCAUCCCCAAUGCCUUUGUCCAGUUUGUUAUCCGUGCAGGGGAAAAUCAGUCAUGCACUCACCUGAUGGUGUUUGCCAUGGAUGUCAUCCCACCUAUGCGGGAGCUGAGCAUCGAUUAUGGCAUAGAUCAGCAAAUUUGUUCAUGA
rnacentral:rRNA from 1 species